ensembl:lncRNA BCORP1 BCL6 corepressor pseudogene 1
CGGGUAGGACUGGACGGUCGGAUUUGUAGGCAAUUCUGACACCGAGCUCCCGGGCUCGGUUGGUAGAAGAUCGCUUUGGGAAUCCUCCUACUCUACGAGGACCAAAAACCAAGGACGCCAAGCCAUACAAAUUCAGCACAGCUGACUCAGAGAGGUGGAAAGGAAAUCAGGACAAAAAGCCAAAAUGUCUUCUGGAGGAGGAUAUUGCCAGCCAGAAUAACUGUGAGAGAUGCAAGCAUAGUCCUGGAAACAAACAGCACAAUUCCUUUAAAGCCCUAAAGGAUGAAGAUCUUCCUGUAGAGAAGUAUUUAAUGGAAAGGCAGCCUGUAGGUGAGCCAGCUGCCGACCAGGUAGCUAUGGAUGUGAUGCACAGCCCCAUCCUCCAACUGGAAAGGAAACACAAAGUCUCAAGUGACAGCAACCAGACAGAGACUACUGCAGAGAAGUUGCCAGAGGACUCUUUCCUAAAAAACAAGCAAAAACAGGUUUAUAUAGGGCUACAUCCUAAGAAACACCAUUUGAUGCACCUUAGAGAACAGUAGGAGCAGCAGGUGUUGGCAGCAGAGAACAAACCUAGUCUGCAAGGCAGGAAGGAAGUGACCCAGACAGUCCAGCCUGAGGUCACUGCCUGGGAUUGUGAUAUCAUGAAAGAGAAACUCAGCAAGAAAAGGGCAGAGGUCAAAGGCAACAGAAGCUGGUUGGAAGAAUUUCUUAAACCCAGUGACAACGAAGAAGGCCCUCCACCGAAGAAUAAGGUUUUAUCCAACAAUGCAAGCAGCCAAAAGCCGACUCACUCAAGCUGCAUACCAUUGUUGAGGCUGCCUGAUAAGCAGCAGAAAGUUAAUGAGAGCAUUAAGACAGACAUGCUGUGCACAGACAAGGAAGAGGAGUGCCCUGCUGCCUCCCUGCUGCAGAAAUACACCAAUAACAGUGAGAAGCCAUCUGGGAAGAGACAAUGCAAAACCAAGCACUUGAUAUCUCAGGACCUGAGGCAGGGGUUCCUGCUAACAGGGAAGUGCUACGUUGAGAAUGCUGAUGGCAAGAUACCUCUUGGCACUUGUUUUCUCCUUGGGCUUAUAUAGAGGCUAUUUCCCCUCACCCCAACAUUCCCCACCUACCUGCUUUUCUCAAGGAUGUAAAGCCUUUCUUUUACUGGACUCCUAACUUCCCUGUCUUAGAGGGGAAGUCUUCCUUGAUGGUGAUAAAAUUGGAAACUAUUAAAAUUUAAGUUCAUACCCCAGUCUGUAACACUUUUCCUUUGAUAUUCCACCUCCCAGGAAGGAAAGGAAACUGCCUUCCCCAUGCAGGUUUGUCUUACAGGAAGGAGGAGGGGAAGCAGUGGAUGUGGAAAGGAUGUAGUCUUAAUCUUAACUGUGUAUACUAAUUCGUUUUGUCUUAGUCAACUGUCCCAAGAUUCAGAAAGCAACUUGAACCCAGUUCCAACUAUGAUCUGACUUCAUCCAAGCAGGAGAUGAAGCCCUUCAACUGCUUGCAAGAGUUGCUACCAGCUUCCCAGUCCAUGAAGCUGCCACACUCAUGUUCCCCUCAGGAAACCAACCAAUCUCGCCCAGUGCAGCUGAGAGCAAGGAGAAUUAUUGUCGAUAGGCAUGCUGGUGAGACUCUCCUGCAGCAGGCAGCAUGGCUUGGCUAUGAGGCAAGGUCUUGCUCUGUCACCUAGGCUAGAGUGCAGUGGUGCGAUCUCAGCUUAUUACAACCUCUGCCUCCUGGGCUCAAGUGAUCCUUCUACUUCAGAUUCCUGAGUAGCUGGGACCACAGGCCUCUCCAUGGUGCAGUUGAAAAUGAUUGUUUGGAAAUUGUCCGCCUCCUCCUUUCCUAUGGCGCUGGCCCCACUUUGGCCACCUACUCAGGCAGAACCAUUAUGAAAAUGACCCACAGCAAAGUUAUGGAAAUGUUUCUAACAGAUUACUUAAAUGACCUACAGGGUUGCAGUGACAGUAAGCUGAAUAGCUCUUGGGAGUUCUACGGCAGCUCUGUCUGUGAACCAGAUAAUGGAGGGGAAUCCAAUGUUUUGGCAGACCCCCCAGGACCAGAGGACCAGGAUGAUGACAAUGAGGCUUGCAGUGAUGUGUUUGAAUUUAAAUUUUCAGAUACCCCCUCUUACCUUGUUAAAACAUUCAAGUUUCAUCUUUGCAGGGUUUGUUCUUCUACAAAUGUCUGAUAACCAGAUGAAUCCAGAGUUACCCUCAUCAGAAGUAGACCACAAAACUGGUUAUUGCUUUCAGAUGUACUUAAGAAAGUGAAAAUGUCAUCCUGCAUAUUUCGCUGGAGUUUUCCACAUCUGAAAAUUGUCCCAAUUGCAGAGGCAGAGUUUUACAGACAGGUUUCAGCAAGUAUCUUGUUCUCUUCCUCCAAAGACUUGGAAGCCUUCAAUCUGGAAAGCAACAAACUACUAGAUUUACUAGAAUGUACAAAUGAACUCCAGAUUCUCCUUGGCUCCUCUCUGGAAUGCUUAAAUCCCAGGGAUGUGGCCUUGGAGAAGGACCACUGAUGAGAAGUCAAAUCCCACUGUAUACUGUGUGUUCUAGUGUUCAUCCUUGUUUAUAUUUAUCAAAGUACAACUACUUCUGUGGAGGAGGGACAUUAUUACAUAUGAAAAUAUUUCAGCUUUAUAUAAGAUAAACCCUCUAGCUAGAAGAUUUAGAAAGAUGUCUUUUUAUUUUAAACUUUUGUUAUGAAAUUGCUGAAAUGUUUCUUUAAUUUUCAAUGUAUAGAAACUGCUUUGAAUAAAUUUGUUUUCAUUUGGAACGUC